CCUAUGCACACACACGCACUCCCUAUUUGUGUACCGACGUUAGGUCAACACACGCAAGUGUGUGGCCUACUAACCUACACACCAUUGACCAACCAAUAAUCAAACCAAACUCUGAAGCUUUGGCUGCUGUUAAUCGGCAGUUUUAACAAAGAACAACUCUCAACAACGGAUAUCUUGGCUCUCGCAACGAUGAAGAACGCAGCGAAAUGCGAUACGUAGUGUGAAUUGCAGAAUUCCGUGAACCAUCGAAUCUUUGAACGCAUAUUGCGCUCGACCCCCCGGGGAAGAGCAUGUCUGCCUCAGCGUCGGUUUACACCCUCACCCCACUUACUUCACAGUAAGCGCUUGCUGCGUUGUAUGACCAGCAACUGGGAUGGAUCUGGCCCUCCCAAUUGAAGCAAUUCGAUUGGGUUGGCUGAAGCACAGAGGCUUAAACUGGGACCCGUACCGGGCUCAACUGGAUAGGUAGCAACACCUUCGGGUGCCUACACGAAGUUGUGUCUGAGGACCUGGUUAGGAGCCAAGCAGGAAACAUGGAAACAUGUACUCUGUAUUCGACCUGAGCUCAGGCAAGGCUACCCGCUGAA
rnacentral:rRNA from 1 species